CUGCCUGAUGAAGAGUCCUUCUCCAGAAUCCUAAUUUGCCUACCUUUUCUUUCAAAUUUAAUCACUUUAAAAGCGUGCUAGUGUGCUGGUUUCCUGAUACUGGCUGCUCAAAUCCUGAAGUUAGAAUGGAACAGAAAAGGUAAAGACCCAGGCAAGAUUAAGUGUGCACAGAGCAGUCAUGAAUAGGUAUGUAUACAAAAUAGCACAUGAAAGUGUAAAAGCAUGAUUUGGGAAGAGUUCUACUAAUACACUUGUGUGAUCAACCACCAAAAAUCUUAGAGUGUUACAGGACUUAGACUUUUUGAAGCUUCCACUUAUUGCUAAUUCAUCUCAGGUAUGUCCCUACUAUUAAGGCUUUUAAGAAAUUUCAAGUAUUGAUAAAUGAUGUAAUGAUUUCAAGCUACUCCUCAGUUGUACUUCCAUGAAAUGGCAUUAGUUUUGGUGUGGCUACGUACUGGGGAAACAAAGCAGAAUUUAACCCUCAAAGUAGACAUACAUACUUCAAGGAUAUAGGAACUUAUUUCACAUUCAAGCUUAAUCUGUUAAGGCAUCAAAUGUUCUUCACUCCCAUUAACCUUAGUAAAAAUGCUUGGAAAUUCAUUGUGCAGUGUAAAGCUAGUGCCAUAGUCUUCAACUCCUUUCAUUUUAAGAACUAUUAGUUUGGAGAUGAAAUGCACAUGUACAGUAUUC